CGGGUGCACUGAUCCAGCCGGGCCUUUCCCUCUGUGGAACCCCAUGGCCUUCACUGGCUGUGGUGGGGAAACAGGACUUUUACUUUGAAAAAAUUAGAGUGCUCCAGGCAGGCCUAUACUCGAAUACAUUAGCAUGGAAUAAUAGAAUAGGACGUGUGGUUCUAUUUUGUUGGUUUCUAGGACCGCCGUAAUGAUUAAUAGGGACAGUCGGGGGCAUCAGUAUUCAAUUGUCAGAGGUGAAAUUCUUGGAUCUAUUGAAGACUAACUACUGCGAAAGCAUUUGCCAAGGAUGUUUUCAUUGAUAAGGAACGAAAGUUAGGGGAUCGAAGACGAUCAGAUACCGUCGUAGUCUUAACUAUAAACUAUGCCGACUAGGGAUCGGACGAUGUUAUUCUUUGACGCGUUCGGCACCUUUCGAGAAAUCAAAGUGCUUGGGCUCCAGGGGGAGUAUGGUCGCAAGGCUGAAACUUAAAGAAAUUGACGGAAGGGCACCACCAGGGGUGGAACCUGCGGCUUAAUUUGACUCAACACGGGGAAACUCACCAGGUCCAGACACAGUGAGGAUUGACAGAUUGAGAGCUCUUUCUUGAUUCUGUGGGUGGUGGUGCAUGGCCGUUCUUAGUUGGUGGAGUGAUUUGUCUGCUUAAUUGCGAUAACGAACGAGACCUUAACCUGCUAAAUAGCCCGUACUGCUUUGGCAGUUCGCCGGCUUCUUAGAGGGACUAUCGG
rnacentral:rRNA from 1 species